UCAAGCGAACAAGGGCGCAGGGCGAAUGCCUUGGCACUGGGAGCCGAUGAAAGACGUGAUAAGCUGCGAUAAGCUUCGGGGAGCUGCAAAUAAGCAUUGAUCCGGAGAUUUCUGAAUGAGGAAACUCACCUGGGUUCAUACUCAGGUACGUUACACUGAACUUCAAAAUAGGUAUAUCGAGGGAACCGCCUGAACUGAAACAUCUAAGUAGGGCGAGGAAGAGACAUCAAACGAGAUUCCGUAAGUAGUGGCGAGCGAACGCGGAAGAGGGCAAACCGAGAGUAGAAAUACUUUCGGGGUACGGACUGCUUUUAGGACUUAAUCUGUUAACCGAACGGCAUGGGAAGGCCGGUCAGAGAGUGUGAGAACCACGUAGGUGAAAACGGAAAGAGCUGCGCAGGAUCCAGAGUACGGCCAGACACGUGAAACCUGGUCGGAAUACGGGGGGACCACCCUCCAACCCUAAAUACUACCCAGUGACCGAUAGCGUAUAGUACUGUGAAGGAAAGGUGAAAAGCACCCCGGGAGGGGAGUGAAAAAGAACCUGAAACCCUGUGCCUACAAGCACCUAGAGCGCGUCAAAGCGUGAUAGGGUACUUUUUGUAGAACGGUCCGGCGAGCGAUUGUAUGCAGCAAGGUUAAGGACUUAAGGUCUGGAGCCGAAGCGAAAGCGAGUUUGAAAAGGGCGUUAAGUUGCAUAUAAUGGGCCCGAAACCGGGUGACCUACCCAUGGUCAGGUUGAAGUGGAAGUAAAAUUCCAUGGAGGACCGAACCGACCUCCGUUGAAAAGGCGGCGGAUGAACUGUGGGUAGCGGAGAAAUUCCAAUCGAACCCGGAGAUAGCUGGUUCUCCCCGAAAUAGUUUUAGGACUAGCCUCAAGUUAGAUACCUGGAGGUAAAGCACUGAAUAGCCUAGCGGCCGAGAGGUUAGCGAAGCUUAUCAAACUCAGAAUGCCAGAGUAUUGAUGCUUGGGAGUCAGACAGUGUCAGAUAAAUGUCAUUGUCAAAAGGGAAACAGCCCAGAUCUACAGCUAAGGUCCCAAAGUCAGGUUAAGUGGAAAACGAUGUGAAGAUACGCAGACAACCAGGAUGUUGGCUCAGAAGCAGCCACUCAUUCAAAGAGUGCGUAAUAGCUCACUGGUCGAGCGUCUUUGCGCGGAGAAUUUAACGGGGCUAAACCUGACACCGAAGCUUAGGCAAUGUAGUAAUACAUUGGGUAGGGGAGCGUUGUAUACGCGGUGAAACAGUAGCGCAAGCGGCUGUGGAGUGUAUAGAAGUGAGAAUGCCGGAAUGAGUAGCGCGAAUGCAGUGAGAAUCUGCAUGGCCGAAAGCCUCAGGUUUCUGGAGGAAGGUUCGUCCGCUCCAGGUUAGUCGGGAGCUAAGGUGAGGCCGAAAGGCGUAGCCGAUGCACAGACGGUAGAGAUUCCGUCACCACCAAAAGAGUUAAGCACAGGGACACAUUUGAAGUCUCAGAGCCGGGUGUUGGUUCCGGUAGAGAUCGAGGGAAAUUAGUACCGAAGUCUGAGAUGGAAGAUGGCGAGAAAAGCUGUGUGUAUUUCUGAGGUGCCCGUACCGCAAACCGACACAGGUAGGUAGGAAGAAGAUUCUAAGGCCAACGGGAGAAGGGUUGUUAAGGAACUCGGCAAAUUGACCCCGUAACUUCGGGAGAAGGGGUGCUCCAGAGAUGGAGCCGCAGAGAAUCGGCCCAAGCAACUGUUUACCAAAAACACAGGUUUGUGCUAAAUCGAAAGAUGACGUAUACGAGCUGACGCCUGCCCGGUGCUGGAAGGUUAAGAGGAGAUGUGCAAGCAUUGAAUCGAAGCCCCAGUGAACGGCGGCCGUAACUAUAACGGUCCUAAGGUAGCGAAAUUCCUUGUCAGGUAAG
rnacentral:rRNA from 1 species